GAAGUGGUCGAUCUGGUGGUGCUGGAGCAGUUCAUCGCUCAACAACCACGUGGGACGGCUGAGUUGGUCCAGUGCCAUUGCCUGACGUCGCUGACGCAGGCCAUCCAGCUGGCUGAAGACCUUCUGGUGGCAUACCCCGUGGUUGGCGAGCCCCUUAUUAAACUCUCUCUCUCUAACCCCUCUCCUUCCCUUCCUGCUCUCUCUCGCCUUAUUCCUAUUCCCAGGUUGCAUAGUACUGUGCCCCCUCAAGCCCCACAGCCAGACAGUGUCUUUCAGGGGAACAGAUCUGGGACAUGAGGGGGCGUAGCGGAGAGCGCCGCCGCCGCCGCCGCCGCUCCAUUUCCACCUUUCUCCUCUCUCCACUAAUCCCUUGGCCAUCCUUCUGCCGCUGGGGCAGCGGGAAGGCCUGGGCCGGCCUGUUGGAGAUGCAGGGACCCGGGUCAUUUUCUGGACCAGUGUCCAAUAAUGGAGGUGGGAGUGUUGAUCCAGGUUCCUGACUCCCCGGUGGCUGCCCCCGAUCAAGCCAGGCCAUACCAAAUACAUACAUGUCAGGCAGGGGGCUGUGUGCAAUCCUGUCCCAGGUGGUCAGAGGAGAGGAGCAGCCGAUGCUGUAUCUGAGUCGAAAGCUCUCCAAAAGAGAAACCAGAUAUAGCACCAUUGAAAAAGACUGUUUGUCCAUUUCGGCGACCCGUCCUCACCCUUCAUUAUUACCUCACUCUCUGUUCGGACCACACACCCCUCCAGUGGCUCCAUGGUAUAAAGGAUACCAACGCGCGGAUCAACUGUUGGUAUCUAGUUUUAUAGCCUUUUAAGCUUAAGGUGGAACACAGGCUGGGGGUCCAGAUGGGGAGGAAGAGAGAGAGACUGAACCCCAGCAGAGACUGAGCUUUGUGUUUGUGUCUUUGUGAGAGACUGUGAAGGCAGAGAGCCUGACAGCACUUUAUUUUGUUCUUUUGGUUAUUUUAUGAGUAAUAAACAGAUUUACUUGCCAACCCUGUCUUCCUUCGUCCAUUAUCAUAUUGAACUACAAAAUAUUAAAUAUAACAUAACAUCAAAAGAUCAAAACGGCGUGUGCAUAUAGACAAACAUAUUUCUGUGUCUCUUUUUGAAAAUGAGCUACAAAGACUUGUGCUUUCCGCAUACUAAACAGCGCUUAUGUCGAGCUGCUUAGCAGAAUUUUCCCAAAUCUUUCGAUGGCCUUUUCAGGCCUGCCACUUGUACAUACACUU
ensembl:lncRNA